rnacentral:tRNA from 1 species
GGAUUGUGGCUCAGUGGUAGAACGCUCAUUUAGCACAUGCGAAGCCCUGGGUUCGAUCCUCAGCACCA